ensembl:lncRNA
UGGAUGACUGAUUAGAAGUGACUCAUUGACAGCAUGAGAAUACAAAAGAAGAUUUGUUGAAGAAUGUUUCCACAUGUUUCCAUGUUUGUUUGCCAUGCUGCUCUUCUUAUUGUGCUCCUGCUUCCAGUCAGGUGACUGAUCACCUGACAGGCCAACCAAAAAUUCUUAAAGACAUGCAUACACUAAAAUGGUUAAGAUGCAUAAAAUGGACAUAAGAACAAGUAAACCACUUAAAACUCUAUAAUACAUAAAAUCACUGUAAUAAAUAGAGCGGUUAAAACAUUUCCCUUGUGUGACAGUAUCACAUAGUCUCCCUCCUUUGCUUACGGCACCUCGGGGAAAAAAAUAGACUCUUAAAGGAGCCGUAUGUAGGAUUCUGGCCUAAACUGGUAUUGCAAUCACUAUAAAAAUACUGUAGAGCGGUGUAUCCCCUCCCCCUACCCCCUGACUCAAGGUUGCCAGAUGAGCUGCAUCCAAGUGACGAACAGACGUACACAGUAAGUUUUUUUUCUGUUAAUUAUGUUUAUGCUUCAUGAGAGAUAUUUUGAUAAGUAAUUAUGUAUUUAAAAAAUGUACUAAUUGUCAUUAGUUAAAUAUAAUUGUAAAGAUUUAUGCUCGUAUGUGACAGUAUAAUCGUAAAGAUGUAUGCUCGUAUGUGACAGUAUAAUCGUAAAGAUUUAUGCUCGUAUGUGACAGUAUAAUCGUAAAGAUUUAUGCUCGUAUGUGACAGUAUAAUCGUAAAGAUUUAUGCUCAUACGUGACAGACAGAACGAUAACUGUUAGUCUAGGCUACUGUCUCAAU